GUAGUGGUGUGACUGAUCCUUUGAUCUGCAAUGUGUUGGCUAUUCACAGUGAGGGUACAUAGUUUGACUGCACAUUCUCUUGGUCCCAAGCCAUUCGGAUCUUUGCUGUGUAUGUUGGCUAUUGUAGGUUCCGGUUCGCUAUUUGGAGUAGAAUACAUCUAGAUGGAAUCUAUCGACCUUGAUAGAAAAAGAGAAGUCCUAUGCGAUUCGUAAGACUGAGUUCAAAAAAUCUCUUAUCAGAGUAAGUGUGAAUACUAGAAAAGAGUUUCUACGAGAUUCACAAAUGAACUCGAGUCGAUCCAAUCUAGCAUAUGACUGACGAUGGGGUU
rnacentral:lncRNA from 1 species